rnacentral:rRNA from 1 species
CCUACGGGAGGCUGCAGUGGGGGAUAUUGCACAAUGGGGGAAACCCUGAUGCAGCGACGCCGCGUGUGGGAAGACGGUCCUCUGGAUUGUAAACCACUGUCCCCAGGGACGAAGAUGACGGUACCUGGGGAGGAAGCUCCGGCUAACUACGUGCCAGCAGCCGCGGUAAUACGUAGGGAGCGAGCGUUGUCCGGAAUUACUGGGUGUAAAGGGAGCGUAGGCGGGGAUGAAAGUUGGGUGUCAAAACUACGGGCUAAACUGGUAGUCGCACUCAAAACUGCAGAUCUUGAGUGAGGUAGAGGCAGGCGGAAUUCCUGGUGUAGCGGUGAAAUGCGUAGAUAUUAGGAGGAACACCAGUGGCGAAGGCGGCCUGCUGGGCUUUUACUGACGCUGAGGCUCGAAAGUGUGGGGAGCAAACAGGAUUAGAUACCCGAGUAGUC